rnacentral:misc_RNA from 1 species
UUUCCGUAGGUGUACCUGCGGAAGGAUCAUUAAUGAGUCUUUGAAGUGGGUUUGAUGCUGGUCUUUCGAGGCAUGUGCUCGCCCUAUUCUCAUCCACUCACACCUGUGCACCUUACGUUUAAGAAGUGGUUGUUGCCUCCCUUCGGGUUGGCAAGUUAGGGAAACCUAGCUAUGGCCCUUCUUUGCGUUACUGUACACAAACUCUUGAAUGUCAUAGAAUGUAUAUUGGCCUACGGGCUUUAAUUUAAACACAACUUUCAACAACGGAUCUCUUGGCUCUC